UACAGAGGGUGCAAGCGUUGUUCGGCAUUAUUGGGCGUAAAGGGCGCGUAGGCGGCCGCGUAUGUCCGGUGUGAAAGCCCACCUCUUAAAGGUGGAAUUGCAUCGGAAACUACGUGGCUGGAGUGUCGGAGAGGAUGGUGGAAUUCCUGGUGUAGAGGUGAAAUUCGUAGAUAUCAGGAGGAACACCGGUGGCGAAGGCGGCCACCUGGACGACUACUGACGCUGAGGCGCGAAAGCGUGGGGAUCAAACAGG
rnacentral:rRNA from 1 species